CAGUUCUGUGCCGCCUCGCUUGCGUGCUGCGGUCUUCUGUCCGACUUUCGGGUUUUCUUGCCUUUUUUCUCUCAGAGUUGAGCCCCUACCCGGGCCGUUUAGUCCCUGGGUCACGAGGAACGGUGGAGUUUAGAACCUGCGAUGGAACUCACCAGAGACCAGAUAGCUAGAGAAUGGCUGAACUGGGUUUUAAAUCUAGUCAAUCUUGACCCCAGAGCUCUCCAGCCUAAAGCACCCUUCUAUCAUAGAGGUCAUCAUCCACAUCCCACAGAUGAGAAAAGGAAGUUUGGGGAAGGAGGCUCCAGGCUGCACACCUAUUGCUGAGGAGAGCUGAAAUUCCAACCAUGUUUCUCCAGCUCCAGAGUCUGUGCCUCUACCACUUGAUAUAAAAGACCAUGUGAUCACAUCACAAGCUACAAAUAACUCUAACUAAAUAAAAAGCAUGCUGAUCUGAACUCUGGAAGAGAACCUUUGUCAAUCAAUAUCUAGCGUUGUCCCAGGAAGAGAGAUUCAAUGUGUAGCAGACACUGGAAAGCCUACCUUAUAUAAGUGCAAGGGGAUCUGCUGACCCUGCCCCAUUUAUUCAAGUAGGAAGAGUGAUCUGGGUCUGCAGGUGUGUUGGGAUAGAAGAGACAAGAGGAAUCUAAGAUCUAGCAGAAACUCACCUCACCAAACUAACAAGAAGACUCCAAGUAGGAUACAGUCCAGGAAGGGUACCACAAGGGCUACAUUUUACUCCUGGGGAAUUCGACCAGCUCUGUCUUCUCCACUGUUGGCUUUGUCUUCCAGCUGGUGGCAAUAUGGCUGCUGUGGUUCCAGGGCCACAUCUAGAUGCACCAAUGUUCCCAAAAAGGAGAGAGAACAUCAACUUCUGUGUCUCUUUUAGGAGAAGGAAACCUUUUCCAGAGGCUUGCCAGCUGACUUUUCCCAAAGGGUCCUGAUACUUAAGGAAUACCUUUCAGAAGGAUGGAUGAAUAUGAAGAAACUAAGGAGCAAAGGAAUCAAAGAUUUCUUCCAGUCUACCCGGGAAGUUAGCUGCAUAGUUAGAAAUAGAACUCUAGGCUGGGCGCGGUGGCUCAAGCCUGUAAUCCCAGCACUUUGGGAGGCCGAGACGGGCGGAUCACGAGGUCAGGAGAUCGAGACCAUCCUGGCUAACACGGUGAAACC